GAGUUUGAUCCUGGCUCAGGACGAACGCUGGCGGCGUGCCUAAUACAUGCAAGUCGAGCGCUAGGGGUGCUCCCUUAGGGGAGACCCCCUGGAGCGGCGGACGGGUGAGUAACACGUAGGCAACCUGCCUGUAAGACCGGGAUAACUACCGGAAACGGUAGCUAAGACCGGAUAGGUGAUUUUUCCGCAUGGAGGGAUCAAGAAACACGGUGCAAGCUGUGGCUUACAGAUGGGCCUGCGGCGCAUUAGCUAGUUGGUGGGGUAACGGCUCACCAAGGCGACGAUGCGUAGCCGACCUGAGAGGGUGAUCGGCCACACUGGGACUGAGACACGGCCCAGACUCCUACGGGAGGCAGCAGUAGGGAAUCUUCCGCAAUGGACGCAAGUCUGACGGAGCAACGCCGCGUGAGUGAAGAAGGUUUUCGGAUCGUAAAGCUCUGUUGCCAAGGAAGAACGCCUUGGGGAGUCACUGCCCUGAGGGUGACGGUACUUGAGAAGAAAGCCCCGGCUAACUACGUGCCAGCAGCCGCGGUAAUACGUAGGGGGCAAGCGUUGUCCGGAAUUAUUGGGCGUAAAGCGCGCGCAGGCGGCCGCUUAAGUUUGGUGUAUAAGCCCGGGGCUCAACCCCGGAUCGCACCGAAAACUGGGUGGCUUGAGUGCAGGAGAGGAAAGCGGAAUUCCACGUGUAGCGGUGAAAUGCGUAGAGAUGUGGAGGAACACCAGUGGCGAAGGCGGCUUUCUGGACUGUAACUGACGCUGAGGCGCGAAAGCGUGGGGAGCAAACAGGAUUAGAUACCCUG
rnacentral:rRNA from 1 species